UACGGAGGGGGCUAGCGUUGUUCGGAAUUACUGGGCGUAAAGCGCACGUAGGCGGACUGUUAAGUCGGGGGUGAAAUCCUGGGGCUCAACCUCAGAAUUGCCUCCGAUACUGGCAGUCUCGAGUGCGGGAGAGGUGAGUGGAAUUCCCAGUGUAGAGGUGAAAUUCGUAGAUAUUGGGAAGAACACCAGUGGGCGAAAGGCGGCUCACUGGCCCGAUACUGACGCUGAGGUGCGAAAGGCGUGG
rnacentral:rRNA from 1 species